CCACUUCUCAAUAUAUUUGUGUUCUGUGAAUGUCACUGUUAUAGGUUAUAAAAAACCGGCGUGCCGUUACUCAUAAAUCGGCAGAAAUUAUUAGUUUUUCUGCAUUUCAAGAUUCGAUCGUCAACUUUUCUGGAGUUUUAAAUAGCAAGAAAAAGGACAUUGAAUAUAAUCAGUUCUGGUUGCUCUUUAAUGAACAAAAAGUUGAAACUAAGAACAUCAAAGAAAAUAUUUCUUAGAAGCUGGAUAUAGUGCUGCCCACUGUGUCUCAGCGGACUUUAAAAUGAGUAGGGGGCUAGCUGCAAAAUUCAGGAAUUGCACCACCCAAAUAACCAUAUGUGUAUAAAACUAGUUGGGCUUCUAGGAGUUCAGAUGGGUAAAUAUCGAAGGCUAUCAUACCACUACUUGGCUGGAUUUGGAUCAUGUAUUUGUACCCGGAAAUUACUUUCUUUGUAUUUGUUUAAAAAAAAAUUGUAAAAUUAUUAUGG